CCACGUCACCCAAUUAAAUCGUCCAAUAGGAAGAGAGCAUUUAACCACGUCAGAUGCGUCGAGUCUAACAUUUGGGCUUCGAAAUCACCGGUCCGUAUCGUUCUAAUUUGAUGAGCCCGUGAAGCCCAUCUCACGCUGAGAUCCCCUUUCUCCUUUCACGAUUGUCGAUUGGUUUUCUAUUUUCUUCUCUUCUUCGUUUCCUCCGUUAAGAGAUCUUUCGUAGGAACAAUCAAUUCUCUCCCCACUCUUCUUCACUCUUUAAUCCCAUUAAUGGUUUCUUUUUGCUUUCUCCCUCUGAGAUUCUAUAUAAGAUCUCAUUCUCUGUGUUUUGGUUUUCAUCAGAAGUUCUUAAAUCCUCUCCACUGCGCUUUCCGAUGAAGUUAUCCGGUGUUCCCGACUCAGUAAAACCGAACGGGGAAGCGGCGGUCCCCUCAACUCCGGUUAAAUCCGUGGUCCAAACAGGUGUCUCUUCCGGCGACGUCAGCUCCAUGAAACCAAAAGACGUAGCGGCGGUCUCCUCCGGUCCCGUCAAACCAGUCGUCCAGACCGGUGUCUCUUCCGGCGAUGUCACCUCGAUGAAGUCAAAAGGCGUAGCGGCGGUCUCCACUUUCAUCGUUAUGGUCCUGCUGGGUAUGCACUUUUCAUUGAUGUGUACGCUGGCCUUGAGGCAAGGUGGAAGCUCAAUGUUGGCUAAUGGCUACAACUCUUGCUUGGGACAGUGAACUGUCUUGGACGCUAGAGAAUACUAUUGAAGCACUUCAGGAGACUAUGCAUCAGGAUUCUUCUGUUGUGAUGAGGUUAUGAAGGGAGUCUCUAGGAGUAUCUGUUCUUAGCAAGAAUCAUGUUCCCACUAAAGGAGCGCAUUACCUUGCUGUAGAGAAGUCUUUGGAGCGACUGAUUAAGUGAAAAUUUCAUCUCUUAGCAAGUUAGUUUAGCGACCAAAAGUGAAGGGCAUCAUGCUUAUCAAUUCUAUCUGAAACCACCUGGUGCACAAGCUUUUAUCAGGAACACGGUAUGUCUGGCGUCUAAAAUUACAAUAAUGGUCCACACUCGCUUAUUUAAAACAGCUGCAGCAUUAUAAAUUACAAGACUACCAAUCGUUUGUUGAUUGUGAUGCUGCAAGAUUGUGUUUUGUUUCUAUCUCUUGCAAUUUCCUCACAUAGCCCCUCUUAGGUUAUAUGCUUAGAUGGGUUCUUUUCUUGCAGAUUUGGAAGGCUUUAAUUUCCUAUGAGAGCCUGAGGUUGUGAUUGCACCAGGUUUACAGCUUUAGAUGAUUGAUGUUCUGUUCUUUAACCAUGGGAGAUUGUGUCAUCGGAGCUUCAUCAAUAUUUUUGGAAGCAUUGCAAUUAAUUUGAGAACAAACCUUCACAAAUUUGGGUCAUAAAAAGGAUAAUGAUCGAGGAGAGAUGCCGUUGAAGCUUCUUAUACAGUUUCAGACAUGGAGAGCUAAUAGCAACUGUUGAUGAAAUGAAAAUACUAAGAAAAAAAUAAAAAUAUAAAGGUGCCAGCACGUCACUCCAAUGUUUGAAUAAUUGUCUUUAGAUCAGGCUCUGUAUUCUUAAAUGAUUAUCUGUCAAGUGUUUUUCUUUAUUUCGGCAGGAUGAAAAAAGCGUAUAACUGUUUUUGCAACAUGCUCUUCAUAUCAAAGUUAGACAGGAGCUAAGUGAUGGUAUGUAGGGCUACUUGACUCCAUGUUCAGGGGAGACUCGCCUGCCUAUAUUCAAGCCCCCAAUGGAGGGUCUGGAGGACAACUUGACCAACUAAGCCAUCUGAGAUCACUGACCUAGAUCAGAGUUUUCUUCUAAUGGAAAUAAUUUACUAAACUCAUCGAUUGUUACUUUGAAGAUAGAAGAAAAACAACAUCUUUUUUUUUUGGCAAACAGAAAAACAACAUCUAAUAGUCUAUUUCCCAUGUUUAUAUUUUAUUUUUGCUGACAUUAUAUGUACACGACAAAUUCUUUAGAUCCAAUCUAUUGAACGAUUACUUCAGACGGUAA